rnacentral:lncRNA from 1 species
UAUGAUAAGAUUCAUUAAAUAAAGCUGGGUUGAUAAAUUUAAUUCAUUUAGACUUAACUGAGAUGCCAUUUUUAGGAUUAAUUUAUAUAUGACUAAGCAUCCAUUGUGAUGACAAAGGAGAUAUUAGCAUUUCUAUGCUAUAUUAUCUUAAGAAGUUUAUUGAGGGGGGCUUUUUUUUUUAUUAUUAUUGAAGGUUUUAACAAAGGAGAGUGAUAAUUUUCUAUACAUAAGAAAGACUCAACAUCCUGUGUUUGACAUGAUUAUAAAUUAUGGAUAAAUUGAUACAUUUUUCACUUAAUUUCUCUCUUUAAAUUUAUUUUAUGAUGAAAAUAGAGAAUAAGUCAGAUUUUUGAA